rnacentral:rRNA from 1 species
CUCCGAAAGGGUAUCGGAGGCGCCCAAAGGUUCCCUCAGGAUGGACGGAAACCAUCCAAAGAGUGCAAAGGCAGAAGGGAGCUUGACUGCGACACCGACGGGUGGAGCAGGUACGAAAGUAGGGCUUAGUGAUCCGGUGGUAUUAAGUGGGAAUGCCAUCGCUCAACGGAUAAAAGCUACCCUGGGGAUAACAGGCUUAUCACUCCCAAGAGUUCACAUCGACGGAGUGGUUUGGCACCUCGAUGUCGGCUCAUCGCAUCCUGGGGCUGUAGUAGGUCCCAAGGGUUGGGCUGUUCGCCCAUUAAAGCGGUACGCGAGCUGGGUUCAGAACGUCGUGAGACAGUUCGGUCCCUAUCCGGCGUGGGCGUAGGAUAUCUGAGAGGAGCUGUCCUUAGUACGAGAGGACCGGGAUGGACGGGCCGCUGGUGCACCGGUUAGACUGCCAAGUCUAUAGCCGGGUAGCCAAGCCCGGAAGGGAUAAACGCUGAAGGCAUCUAAGCGUGAAGCCCCCCUCAAGAUGAGAUAUCCCAUCCGAAAGGAGUAAACCCCCUUGAAGACGACGAGGU